AACGAACGCUGGCGGCAUGCCUAACACAUGCAAGUCGAACGAGACCUUCGGGCCUUGUGGCGCACGGGUGCGUACCACGUGGGAAGUUACCCUUAGGUUCGGUAUACCUCACCGUAGGGGGUCUUCAUACCGCUUAGUCUCUUCGCACCUAAGAUGUAUUGCCUUGGGAUGGGCCCGCGUUAGAUUGGCCAGUUGGUAGGGUAAUAGCCUGCCAAGGCCACGUUCCAGGGCUGGUCGGAGAGGAUGGUCAUGCACACUGGGCCUGCGACACGGCCCAGACUCGGAGGGGAGGCAGCAGUGGAGAAUAUUGGGCGAGGGGCGAAGGCGUGAUCCAGCAAUGCCGCGUGUGUGAUGAAGGCCUUAGGGUUGUAAAGCUCUCUGACCCGGGAUGAUAAUGACAGUACCGGGAGAAGAAGCACCGGCUAACUCCGUG
rnacentral:rRNA from 1 species